rnacentral:rRNA from 1 species
AUUGAACGCUGGCGGCAGGCCUAACACAUGCAAGUCGAGCGGAUGAAGGGAGCUUGCUCCUGGAUUCAGCGGCGGACGGGUGAGUAAUGCCUAGGAAUCUGCCUGGUAGUGGGGGAUAACGUCCGGAAACGGGCGCUAAUACCGCAUACGUCCUGAGGGAGAAAGAGGGGGAUCUUCGGACCUCACGCUAUCAGAUGAGCCUAGGUCGGAUUAGCUAGUUGGUGGGGUAAAGGCCUACCAAGGCGACGAUCCGUAACUGGUCUGAGAGGAUGAGCAGUCACACUGGAACUGAGACACGGUCCAGACUCCUACGGGAGGCAGCAGUGGGGAAUAUUGGACAAUGGGCGAAAGCCUGAUCCAGCCAUGCCGCGUGUGUGAAGAAGGUCUUCGGAUUGUAAAGCACUUUAAGUUGGGAGGAAGGGCAGUAAGUUAAUACCUUGCUGUUUUGACGUUACCAACAGAAUAAGCACCGGCUAACUUCGUG